GGAUAGCUCAGUCAGUAAGAGCAGGAGACUCUUAAUCUCAGAAUCGUGGGUUUGAGCCCCAUGUUGGGCA